rnacentral:rRNA from 1 species
UACGUAGGGUGCGAGCGUUGUCCGGAAUUAUUGGGCGUAAAGAGCUCGUAGGCGGUUUGUCGCGUCGGCCGUGAAAACUUGGGGCUUAACCCCGAGCCUGCGGUCGAUACGGGCAGUACUUGAGUUCGGCAGGGGAGACUGGAAUUCCUGGUGUAGCGGUGAAAUGCGCAGAUAUCAGGAAGAACACCGAUGGCGAAGGCAGUUCUCUGGGACGGUACUGACGCUGAGACGCGAAAGCGUGGGGAGCGAACAGG